GACGAACCGUGCGAACGUUAUUCGGAAUCACUGGGCUUAAAGCGCGUGUAGGCGGGCCGCCGCGUCGGCUGCUGAAAUCCCCCGGCUCAACCGGGGAACGGGCACCGAUACGAGCGGCCUCGAGGGGGGUAGGGGGGUCUGGAACUUCCGGUGGAGCGGUGAAAUGCGUUGAGAUCGGAAGGAACGCCCGUGGCGAAAGCGAGGCCCUGGACCCUUACUGACGCUGAGACGCGAAAGCCAGGGGAGCGAACGGG
rnacentral:rRNA from 1 species